UACGUAGGGGGCUAGCGUUGUCCGGAAUCAUUGGGCGUAAAGAGCGUGUAGGCGGUCCGGUAAGUCCGCUGUGAAAGUCGGGGGCUCAACCCUCGAAUGCCGGUGGAUACUGUCGGGCUAGAGUGCGGAAGAGGCGAGUGGAAUUCCUGGUGUAGCGGUGAAAUGCGCAGAUAUCAGGAGGAACACCAGUGGCGAAGGCGACUUCCUGGCCUGUUCUUGACGCUGAGGCGCGAAAGCUAGGGGAGCAAACGGG
rnacentral:rRNA from 1 species